UCUAGUGCAACAUGUCAAUACGUCCACCUUUUGCCUUUGUAUGAGUCUGAACCAACUCCAAGAUUUAUCCCUAAAACAUAGUUGAUCAACAAACUCCAAAAAAAAUCAUCUCCAGAUUUUUUACAAAUUCAGGGUCCUGCCAUUAGCUCCCACUUGAUUGUUAAUGUUAAGAAACCUGAAGAUAAAAUAAAAGCCAUUAGGCACCUGUUGAAUAAACAUGUAAAGAGAAUAACAAGUUUGUUGCAGAGCAUGAACGGUUGAUCUGUGGAGGAUGGAUGCUAUGGAUGAUGGCCCUAAUAUGGGUGCUGAGGAUAUUGCUCUCAAGACACAAAGGUGAGAAUGAUACUCUACCCGCAUUUCCGUCAAUGAACAACCUAACCGUAAACUUCGAAUAUUUCAAUGUAGGGUGAAGCAGCCUGUUCAUGUUAACAUUAAAGUUAGAGUUCUUCCAUAUCGGGCCAUGCUUGCUGAUGGCGCCGAGGAACAAAUGGAGCGGCAGGAUAUUGAAAUGCAGAUUAGAUGGAAGGGGCUCACUUUAAACAAAUUUGCAUACGACUUGAGCCAAUACAUACCAUGGGGCCCAUGGCAGGAGGUGCAUCUGUUUGGCUAUGAUAAGGAUUCUGAUGAGGAAUGCAGACUGUUUAGCACCAAGCAAUUGAGAAGCCAUUUGCUUGACCAUAUGUGGGGAGAGGAAGAAAAAGUGAAGAUGCUAGUUGAGGUGCAUACAAAACCUGCUAAGAAAUCUGCCGCGAAGAGAGCUAACAAGCCUACUAAGGAACCAGCUGCUAAGAAACCUAAGAAGGCACCUGUUGAGAAGGCACCUAAAAUCCUAAAAUCGGCUAUGGAUGAUGUACUAUGCAGUGCUACAUCAUCUGUGGUUGUGGACAAUGCGAAUGAGGAAGCACUUGAGGUUUUUCAAUCAAUGGCGAGUCAAACAAGUGCUUUUGUUGACAAUGAUAUUAACUUUGCAACAUGUGAUGUUGUUCAACCCAAUAUGCCAUCAAUUUCUGACAUUGCUGAAAGCAAUGAGCAAUGCGGGUCUUCGGUGGUGUUGGAUAUAGAACCACCAAUUGAUUGGAGCCUAAUUGAGAUUGCUCCUCCAAAUGAAGAUGAAGUGGAUGUUCCAGUUACAGAGGAGAAUAUGUGUGAUUUUCUAGGUAUCGAGGAGGAUGAGACACAUGAAGCACCUUCUUCGCCACCUAGUGAAGAUGUGUAUCUCACUGAUGAGGAGGACCAACAACUAUUAACCGAGGCUGCUAUUCCUGUUGAUGACAAGAUAGCUCAAGAGGAGGAGAUUGCAUAUGACAAAGAGAACCCUCAUAUGUAUGUAGGUGCCUUGUUUCCUUCAGUGGAAGAGUUCAGGAUGGCAAUAAAACAAUAUGCCAUUAACAAUGAAAUUGACAUAUGGGGAUAUAAAACAGACAAAAAAAGAUAUCUCGGACUAUGCAGAGGCAUCAAGUGUCCAUGGAGAAUAACUGCUCGUUUAAGGGCUGAUGAGAAAACAAUAAGGGUACUAACAACUUUAUUGCUAACAAUAACUUCUGUUUCUAGUACUCCAAUUCAUAUUACUUGUCGCAAGUUUAGUAUGAGUAAUAUGGAUCGGGGGGAGUGAUUAAUUUUCUUUUAUUGAAUGCAGUACUAUUUCUCAUAGGCCAUUUGUUUUGUAUGGAUGCAGGUCACUAAGAUGAGUAAGAAACACAAGUGUUCUUCGAGUAGCAGAGUAAAAACCACCAUGGCAACACAAGGUUGGGUUGAAGCCAAGGCAAUGAGUAUACUCCAGAAUUAUCCUACCAUAGGAUGUAAAGAACUACAAGAGAAACUCGAAGAAACUUAUGACAUCACCAUUGGUUAUGAUACAGUUUGGGCGGGUAAAUCUAGAGCCGAAAAACAGAUUUAUGGCACUUUGAAGCUGAGUUUUCAGAAUUUGCAUAAAUUCAAAGCAGAAGUUGAGAAGAGAUCUCCAGGGAGCAUCGUAGAGGUUGAUACCAAGGUAGUAGAUGGUAAAGUCCACUUUCACAGAUUCUUUAUGGCUCUUAAACCUUCCAUAUAUGGUUUUCUACCUGGUUGUAGACCAUAUCUCAGCAUAGACUCCACGGCAUUGAAUGGUAGAUGGAGAGGACACUUGGCAGCUUGUACAGCAUUAGAUGGUCAUAACUGGAUGUUUCCUGUUGCAAUUGGGUUCAUUGAUGGAGAGACCGAGGAAAACUGGACUUGGAUCAUGUCACAACUCAAUAGAGCUUUAGGCUCAGUCCCUAACUUAGCUAUAUGUACAGAUGGUUUUUCCUCAUGUGGAGCAGAGAGAGUGUUUUAGGCACUUGAUGGCAAACUUCACAAAAAAAAUUCAAAGGUGAUGUGUUAGGUAGGAUGUGGCCUGCUGCUAGGGCAUAUAGACCUGAAGUUUUCUCCCAUCAUAUGCAGAAAGUCUUGGCAGCUAGUAGCCGUGUGCAUGAAUAUUUGUCAACCUAUCACAGUUUGAAGUGGAUGAGAUGCAGUUUCAAUGCAGACAUCAAGUGUGAUUAUAUAAACAACAAUCUGGCCGAGUCUUUUAAUAACUGGAUAAAAGAUUAUAAAGACUUGCCUGUUCAUGAGCUUGAUGACACAUAUAGAGAAUUGUUGAUGAAACUAGUAUACAAAAGAAGGAGAAUUGGGGAGAAAUUGAGGGGAAAGAUCAUUCCUGCUGUUAUUCAACAGAUUUUCAAUAGGACUAGAGGGCUUGGUCAUCUAAAAGUUGGAAAAUCAGGUAAUGGUAGUUGUGAAGUCAGGGACACAAGCGAAAACAGUCUUAGGCAUGUUGUGAAGGUUGACAAACAUGAAUGCACUUGUUUGGAGUGGCAGCACACCGGAAAGCCUUGUGAGCAUGCUCUAGUAUUUUUGAUGGGGAGGAGAAACCCCAAAUGGGUAGACUAUGUUCAUAAUUAUUUCUCCUUGGACAAGUUUAGGGCAGCUUAUGCAUGUGAGAUUGAGCCCAUGACAGAUAGGAGUCAAUGGCCUCAUGUGGAUGUUGGUUUCGACAUGGAUGCACCGAUUGACAAAGGAAGACCGCCUGGAAGGCCUAGAAAGCAGAGGUACAAGAGUGCCCUCGAAGGUGGAAAAGGUGGUCCAAAAAAGAAAGAACCUAAACAAUUGGGCAGCCAAAACAGAUGCAAAAGAUGCAAUGAACUAGGUCACAGACAAGCUGGUUGCCCCUUAAAUGGUCCCCAAAAAAGGUAAUUAUAUAACCAAUUAUAUUUUGCAUUACUUUUGUCAUGUUAUGAAUUGUUUCCAGUUAUAUGCAUUUUGUAUCCUGUUGCAGGAAGAGAAAACAGAGAGCAAGAACAUAUCCUGCUGAAGAUGAUGAGCCAGGACCUCAAAUUGGUGGUGCUCCUAUUGGCACACCCAACCGGCAAAUUGGUGGUGCUCCUAUUGGCACACCCAAUAGGCAAAUGCUUACUAUUCCUGCCAGUCUCCAUGAUAGUCCUAGGCCAGUGACAAGAAGGUAAUAUACAGUAAAAUGAUUAUUUCAUUGCAGUCCAAAGUUGAUCUCUCAUGUUUACUAUUCCACUCUUUAUAGGAUGCUGGCUAUGGCCUUGGCUGAUGAAUCAUCAGAGCCAACAGAGAUGCCUUCAACCUCGCGUGCGAGAAAGUUGACCCCUAAGAGAAAAAGAACGUAGAUCGUGACGUGCUUAUGUGGUGAACUAGAUGCUAUGUCAUGUCAUUUUUGGGGCUGAACAUGCUAUGUCGUGUCCUUUUGUGUCGAACUAUGUUUGUUGAUUCUUAUGUAUGGAUGUCAGAGUCAGGCUAUCUAUUAUUGUAACCAAAUGUUUGCACUUGCCAUGAUUUGUGAAGAAAUGCUGUCCAAGUGGUAGCCUGAUGAUGCACAAUUUUUUUGGCCAAAAAAUCAAACUACCCAGAAAGGGUUGAAACAAUUCCAGAAAAUAAAGAGUUCUAAAUUGAGCAUUCUGGCAAAAUUUUAGCUCACUUGGCUGAACAGAAAUUGAGAAACUUAAAAACAGAUCAUUUCCAGCCUAGUUUUGGGUCAAAUUUGGCCUAAAAUUGAAAUUAUGCAGGAAACAUUGAAACAAUUACUGAAAACCGUGAAUUUCUGGGAGAAUUUGAGAUCAUUUGGCGGAGCAGAAAUUAGAAUAUUAAGAAGUACCCAGAAUGACAAAUCUGAAGCUCACAACUUCAGAAAGUACACAGAACCACAAAUCUGAAGUUCCUUAGAUUUGGGAGAGCACGGACCUGUGCAGCAGCUCGGGGAAGGCAGAGCCCAUUGCGGCAGCAGCAAGCUCGGCGAGGUUCAGCAGUAGGAAGCAACAGCUCGGGGAAGGUUCCACACAGCGAGACCUCGCUGCAUCUCACGGACGAACAGCAGCGUGCAGCGGCAGCUCGUGGAAGGUUGCGCGGGCGUCGCAAGCUCAAGGAGGCACAACACCACACAGCAGCAGCUCAGGGGAGGACGCCCUUGCUGGUAUAGCCGCUGCGAGGUCGCACGACGUACGGCGAGGUUGCAGGGCGGCCAUCCAGACGAACAGAGUACAAGCAAAAGGAAGAAGAGAUAAG
rnacentral:lncRNA from 1 species